AUAGUUAGUUUUACAUGCAUGGGUUUGAUUGUGGGACUCCCUUGUUACAAAUCGUUCUUGGUCUACGCUCUUGGACUUUGCUAUUACGUUAUAUGUUCGAUUUGGAAUUUGAAUGACAAGUACAUAAAUUUGAAAGUGUUGCUCUUUAAUGAAUGCGAAAAACAACAAAAAGGCCUUGGUGAUGCUCCAAUACUCUUUAUUAAAAACAAGAAAAUGAUACCAAAAGAACUCUACGAAAUUGUGUGCAACAAGCAUAUUCCAUUGAAGAAAACCAUUUCAUCGUCAAUAUUUCAACUUGGAAAGUGGAUCGUUUUUCUCACAUUUGUAUUUGUAUCGGUGGUUGCAGUCGGGAAGUGGACCAACAUUCCAUCAAUUACAGAAGCUAUCUUCAUGUUCUGGAUUACCACACUGCCAAAACUGAUAAGCAAGUAUAAACCUGCUGGUUGGUCUUCGUUCAAAAAGAAGGAAGAUCUGUAUUCAAUAGAGGACAUUGUUUCCCAGUAUGUGAGAAAAACGUGCGUCGUAACAUGGGAACCAACGAGGCUUAACUCAUAGACCUUUUAGCUGGACAUAUGAACCUCAUUGUAAUGCACAGUAUAAAUAUAAAUGUCUGCACUUACAACGAUAAUCAGAGACAACAGUCAACUGACCAAAGUGCAAAGAAUAUAAACUAUAAUGACAACAAGUAGAAUAAAAACAGUUUAUGCAGUGGCGGACACUAGGGAUGAGGCAGGGGUAGAAAAACCGCCCCGCACCCACCCCCAAUAAUAUCUGCAUGCCUUUGAAUAAUAGCAGAGUAAUUGCAUGACAAAAUGUUACGAUAAUUUUUCAACCAUGAAAGCAUUCGUAUGCCAUAAAUUAAGCUACUUAUUGCAUGAAAUUUAAGGCAACAAUUUCCAACAACAGGUGGUAAUAUGUUGACAACCUAAUUCCCCCCGCCUCCCCCCUCACGAUUUCGCAAAGUGUCCGCCACUAUAUGCGUGCAGUGUAGUAAAAUAUUGACAUUGAUUGAUUAGCAUAAAUUAGGAAACAAACGAACACAUGUUUCCAUAACAUUGAAAGUACGGGGAUAAAAAAGACAAAGUUGAGAUAGUAUAGCGAACGUAGUUCAAGUAAUAAUUUUUUAUAUUAAUGUAAAUUUUUGAGAAAGUAAAGAAUGAUGUUCAAUCAAGAGAAAAUUACAACGCAUGCAAGUGGGGAUCCGCCUCGUGUUGUGAGGAAAGCAAGUAAAGAAAAAGUUCUGAUCAUGAAUUAUUAGUUUGCAAUGUAGUAUAAUAACUUUUAUGUUAAUAAUAAGUGAACCGU